UACGUAUGGGGCUAGCGUUGUCCGGAAUCAUUGGGCGUAAAGAGCGUGUAGGCGGUCCGGUAAGUCCGCUGUGAAAGUCGGGGGCUCAACCCUCGAAUGCCGGUGGAUACUGUCGGGCUAGAGUGCGGAAGAGGCGAGUGGAAUUCCUGGUGUAGCGGUGAAAUGCGCAGAUAUCAGGAGGAACACCAAUUGCGAAGGCAGCUCGCUGGGACGUAACUGACGCUGAGACGCGAAAGCGUGGGGAGCAAACAGG
rnacentral:rRNA from 1 species